rnacentral:rRNA from 1 species
ACCCUACGGGGUGCAGCAGGCGCGAAACCUUCGCAAUGUACGCAAGUGCGACGAGGGGAUCCCAAGUGUCAUUCUUAACGGGAUGGCUUUUCAUUAGUGUAAAAAGCUUUUAGAAUAAGAGCUGGGCAAGACCGGUGCCAGCCGCCGCGGUAACACCGGCAGCUCGAGUGGUAGCUGUUUUUAUUGGGCCUAAAGCGUUCGUAGCCGGUUUGAUAAGUCUUUGGUGAAAGCUUGUAGCUUAACUAUAGGAAUUGCUGGAGAUACUAUCAGACUUGAAGUCGGGAGAGGUUAGAGGUACUACCGGGGUAGGGGUGAAAUCCUAUAAUCCUGGGAGGACCACCUGUGGCGAAGGCGUCUAACUGGAACGAUCUUGACGGUGAGUAACGAAAGCCAGGGGCGCGAACCGGAUUAGAUACCCGGGUAGUCCUGGCUGUAAACGAUGUGGACUUGGUGUUGGAAUGGCCUCGAGUUGUUCCGGUGCCGAAGGGAAGCUGUUAAGUCCACCGCCUGGGAAGUACGGUCGCAAUAUUGAAACUUAAAGGAAUUGGCGGGGGAGCACCACAACGCGUGGAGCCUGCGGUUUAAUUGGAUUCAACGCCGGACAUCUCAC